UACGUAGGGCGCAAGCGUUGUCCGGAAUUAUUGGGCGUAAAGAGCUCGUAGGUGGUUUGUCGCGUCUGCCGUGAAAACCCGAGGCUUAACCUCGGGCCUGCGGUGGAUACGGGCAGACUAGAGGUAGGUAGGGGAGAACGGAAUUCCCGGUGUAGCGGUGAAAUGCGCAGAUAUCGGGAGGAACACCGGUGGCGAAGGCGGUUCUCUGGGCCGUACCUGACGCUGAGGAGCGAAAGCAUGGGGAGCGAACAGG
rnacentral:rRNA from 1 species